UUGCCCGUAGCUCAGUUGGUUAGAGCGCUGGAUUGUGGCUCCAGAGGUCGCCGGUUCGAGUCCGGUCGGGCACC
rnacentral:tRNA from 1 species